UACAGAGGUGGCAAGCGUUGUUCGGAAUUACUGGGCGUAAAGGGCGCGUAGGCGGCCGCGUAAGUCCCGUGUGAAAUCCCUCGGCUCAACUGAGGAAUGGCACGGGAGACUGCAUGGCUCGAGUUCGGGAGAGGGAAGCGGAAUUCCGGGUGUAGCGGUGAAAUGCGUAGAUAUCCGGAGGAACACCGGUGGCGAAGGCGGCUUCCUGGACCGAUACUGACGCUGAGGCGCGAAAGCUAGGGGAGCAAACGGG
rnacentral:rRNA from 1 species